GGAGAAUCUAGAUGUGCAGGAGAUGCUAGGAGAUGAAGAACAAGUAUGACUUACAGAAAUGGAGAAGAGGAUCACUGUGCUCCAGGAUGUGACCAGCAUAUUGUCACUCCUCAACUCAAACAUACCUCUGCUCCUCCUUUACCAACGCAAGACAUCACCUACACAAACAGGGAGUAGAGGUCCAGUCUAGUCUGAACCUGCCAUCUGUCUACGGCUGGGAGCACUCAAGUAAGGAAAGAAGACAUUCCAGGGCCGAGCAAGCGAUACUUGUAUGAGGAAUGUCAGACUGCCUCUGACUAGGAAAUCUCAUCAAGAAACAAGAUGGAGAUACCUGAGGAUGCUCUUCAAUACCCCAUUGCCUGCAGAUGUUAGACCCCCGAAAACUCAAGUAUCCGGGGUCCCAGGCCACGUUCGAGGUCACCCCAAUCACCAGGCGGAUUUGAGAGCUUGCUGCAAACUGCACGAGGCUUUAUUGUAAUUUAACGAGCUAACCCCAUGUUAGCUCGGGUCUUUCACCCACCCGCCAUGGCGGACGGCUAGCAAAAGAUGGCUCCUAGGGCCUCCCAAGAGAUCUUAUAGGACCGCAUAAGGGGAGUGUCUAGGGGUACGCACAGGCUCACUAUUGGUGUGCCUCCAGCCUUGGAGGGCUUGCCCUGUGUUGAUUGGUCAACUGGUUGUUAUGGCCCAUAGGCCCUCCCAGGGUGGUUGCUAUGCUCUGUGUGUCAUUGCUGUGCACUUGUCUGUAAAGCACACCCAGGGUCAUAAAGCAUAGCGCCACCAGCUAACUUCUGAUUGGUUCCUUGUCACGAGACAGGCAUCUGACCUCUAAGUGACCAAGGCAGGUUUAUGGCAAGCACGUGUUCAGCU
rnacentral:lncRNA from 1 species